rnacentral:rRNA from 1 species
AUGGUUUUAUGGCAAUACUGCCUGGUAUUAUGCCUAGAGAUACCUCCAAACGAGUGUGCUCUUACCCACUCCAAGUGGCAGCCCAAGUGGAUGCGUAGUACUGCUGUCCUAGUCAUCAAUCUUGACUGCCCUCAUCAGUCAGCUGAACAUGCCAAUCUGCUUGUUCACACUAUUGGUCCUCUUCCAUUCUAUACACACAUCGGCUUCUUCCUCCGAGUAUCAAAGCAGAGCACACAAACUCUUCUCCAUGUCUCCCCUCUACAUACUAUCACUCGGGCUUCUCCUUCUGCACGUUCCUCAUUGGUGCUCCUCCUCUGCAGCUGCAACCAACACCCUGACGGCGGGCCAGUCGCUCGCCGUCGGCGGCAGCAAGCUCGUCUCGGGGAACGGCAAGUUCGCACUCGGCUUCUUCCAGCCAGCAGCAGGCACCAUCAGGAUCAGCCCAUCACCGGCCCCAGCCUCAACCGAACACAGCUCCAGAUAUCAAGCGAUGGCAAUCUUGUCAUCGUACACAAUGAUUCCGUAGUUUGGUCCACUCGCAUUGUCAAUAAUAGGACACAAGCCAGCAGCAUAAACACCACUGCUACUGCUGCUGUUCUCUUGAACAGUGGAAACCUUGCCCUUACAGUCACAGAGAGCCCAUCAUCAUCGGACCUACCGUUGUGGCAGAGCUUCGAUCACCCAACAGAUAUUGUGCUUCCUGGUGCCAAGGUUGGCCGAAACAAGAUCACUGGUUUGAAUCGUAAGGGCGUCUCAAAGAAGAGCCUCAUUGAUCCGGGUCUCGGCUCAUACAGCGUUGAACUAGACAUCAGCGGACAGGUCGUCCUCAAGCGCCUAAACCCCUCAGUGGUGUAUUGGCAUUGGGCAUCCUCCAAAACAUCAUCAUUGAAGCUUAUACCAAUACUCAAGUCCAUUCUGGAUAUGGAUCCACGGACCAAAGGUUUGAUUAACCCAGCAUAUGUUGAUAACGACCAAGAGGAGUACUACAUGUACACCUCACCAGAUGAAUCAUCUUCCACAUUUGUCUCACUUGACAUCUCUGGUCAGAUAAAGCUGAAUGUUUGGUCGCAAGCCAGCCAGUCUUGGCAAACCAUAUAUGCCCAGCCCGCCGAUGCCUGCACUCCGUCCGCUACCUGUGGAGCUUUCACAGUAUGCAACGGCACUGCACAACCAUUCUGUGACUGUAUGGGGAGCUUCUCUCAGAAGUCGCCGCGGGAUUGGAUGUUUAAUGAUCGAACAGGAGGGUGCAUCAGAAAUACACCGUUACACUGCAACACUAGCAGUAACAACAAAAACAUGACAAGUUCAACAGAUAUAUUCAACCCCAUUGCUCAUGUUACGUUACCCUACAACCCACAAAGCAUAGACGUUGUUACCACACAGAGCAAAUGUGAAGAAGCUUGUCUCAGUUCCUGCUCCUGCACUGCUUAUUCCUAUAGCAACAGCAGAUGCUCUGUCUGGCAUGGGGAAUUGCUUAGUGUAAAUCGCAAUGAUGGCAUUGAUAAUACUUCUGAAGAUGUUCUAUACCUCCGCCUUGCCGCCAAAGAUUUGCCGCCAAGUUUGAUGAAGAACAAAAGAAAACCAAACGUUGGAGCUGUUACCGCUGCAAGUAUUAUUGGUUUUGGGUUACUAAUGCUCAUGGUGUUGUUACUGAUUUGGAGGAACAGAUUCAAGUGGUGUGGUUUGCCUUUGUACAGCAAUGAAGGUAGUUCUGCUGGGAUCAUAGCCUUCAGAUACACUGACUUAGUUCGUGCUACUAAAAACUUCUCCGAAAAGCUGGGAGGAGGUGGUUUUGGUUCUGUAUACAAGGGAGUGUUAAGUGACUCGAAGACUACCAUAGCAGUGAAAAAGCUUGAUGGUGCCAAUCAAGGAGAGAAGCAAUUCAGGGCCGAGGUGAGCUCAAUUGGACUGAUCCAACAUAUCAACCUAGUCAAAUUGAUUGGUUUCUGCUGCGAAGGUCAUCACAGAUUACUUGUGUACGAGCACAUGUUCAAUGGGUCUCUUGAUAGUCAUCUAUUUAAGAAGAGCAAUAAUGCUGAUGCUGCUGUCCUAAACUGGAACACCAGAUAUCAGAUUACCCUAGGAGUUGCCAGAGGGUUGUCCUACUUGCAUCAGAGUUGCCGCGAAUGCAUCAUACACUGUGAUGUUAAGCCAGAAAACAUACUUGUGGACGCAUCCUUUGCUCCCAAAGUUGCAGACUUUGGAUUGGCAGCGUUUGUUGGAAGGGAUUUUAGCCGAAUUCUGACCACAUUCAGAGGAACCAAAGGUUAUCUUGCUCCAGAGUGGCUUACCGGAGUUGCUAUUACACCAAAAAUCGAUGUUUACGGCUUCGGCAUGGUACUGAUGGAGAUCAUAUCCGGAAGCAGGAAUUCACCUGAAACACACAACACUAGCAGCAGCACCAGUUACCACGCUGAAUAUUUCCCUGUGCAAGCCAUCAACAAGCUUCAUGGGGGAGAUGUGAAGAGUUUGGUGGAUCCACGGUUGCAUGGUGACUUCAAUUUGGAAGAGGCUGAAAGGGUUUGCAAAGUUGCAUGUUGGUGCAUUCAAGAUAAUGAGUUUGAUCGGCCGACGAUGGGUGAAGUGGUCCGGGUUCUCGAGGGUCUGCAGGAAAUUGAUGUGCCCCCGAUGCCAAGACUGCUUGCUGCUAUAACGGCGCAACCUGGUGCUGCAUAUUCAGUGUAA